rnacentral:rRNA from 1 species
UACAGAGGGUGCGAGCGUUAAUCGGAAUUACUGGGCGUAAAGCGCACGUAGGUGGCGACGUAAGUCGGGUGUGAAAGCCCCGGGCUUAACCUGGGAAUUGCAGUCGAUACUACUCAGCUAGAGUAUGGGAGAGGGUAGUGGAAUUCCCGGUGUAGCGGUGAAAUGCGUAGAUAUCGGGAGGAACAUCAGUGGCGAAGGCGGCUACCUGGCCCAAUACUGACACUCAGGUGCGACAGCGUGGGGAGCAAACAGG